rnacentral:rRNA from 1 species
GUGUCAGCCGCCGCGGUAAUACGUAGGUCCCGAACGUUGCGCGAAUUUACUGGGCGUAAAGCGGGCGUAGGCGGCCGGCUAAGUCGGAUGUGAAAUCCCGGGGCUCAACUCCGGAACUGCAUUCGAUACUGGUCGGCUAGAGUUCGAGAGGGGGAUGCGGAAUUCCGCGUGUAGCAGUGAAAUGCGUAGAUAUGCGGAGGAACACCUGAGGCGAAGGCGGCAUCCUGGAUCGACACUGACGCUGAGGCCCGAAAGCGUGGGGAGCAAACAGGAUUAGAUACCCUGGUAGUCCACGCCCUAAACGAUGUCUACUAGCCGUUGCGGGUAUCGACCCCUGCAGUGGCGCAGCUAACGCGAUAAGUAGACCGCCUGGGGAGUACGGCCGCAAGGUUAAAACUCAAAUGAAUUGACGGGG